rnacentral:rRNA from 1 species
GGAUUGCGUCCUGUUGCGCCCAACAGACUGGCACACGUGUGCGGACGCCGGUGCCGGGGUAGGGCGGGGGUCCGUCCCCGGGAGGGUGCGUGCGCGGCCGGGCGGCCGCAUCAGGUCCGGCUAUGGACCACGUCGGCGUGCUGGCAUGAUGCUCGCCACCGGUGGCCCGCCGGCGAACGGACGCGCGGAGGAGAGACUGCCUUGACCACGACCGACACGGACAGGGCAGUGCUGCGUGCCGAGGAGACACCCGAGGAGCCACGGCGGAGCGGGGGCCGGGACGGAGGCCCGGGCGCAGGCGGGGACGUACCGGGGGAGGUGCCGGGGAGGAGCGGGCGGCAGCCGUCGCCCUCCAGGCUGUCGGCCGCCGACAUACUGACCCUGGGCAACGCGGUCUGCGGGUUCUCCUCGGUGUACUUCAUCACCACCGCUGUGCUGGUGCCCUACCUGACGGGCGGUCCGGGCGACGGCACCCUGCGGCAGGGCGCGGCCACCGCCGUCAUGCUGAUCCUGCUGGCCUCCCUCUUCGACCUGUGCGACGGGCUGGUGGCGCGGAAGUUCCGCAGCUCCGGCAUGGGGGCGGAGCUGGACAACCUCUCGGACCUGAUCAGCUUCGGUCUCGCGCCGGCCUACUUCGUCGUGGUCUGGGGGCUCGUCGGCGAGGGCGCCCACCUGUGGAUGACCGUCGUCGGCGCGGUCGCCGUGCUGCUGGCCGGGUUACUGCGGCUGGCCCGUUUCUCCGUCACCACCUCGCGGGACGGCAUGUUCGAGGGCAUGCCGAUCCCCUUCGCGGCGCUCACCGUCGUCUCGGUCGUCCUGCUGGAACUGCCCUUCGCCCUCACCCUCGCGCUGGUGGUCGGCGUCGCCUGGCUCAUGGUGAGCCGGGUCGAGUACCCGAAGCCGACGGGCCGGAUGGCGGUCGCCACGGUCGUCUGGGCCGCCGUCAACAUCGGCUGCCUCGUCGCCUGGGCCGCCGGUGCGCCCGGGGCGGAGCGCCUGCUGGUGACCGGCUGCGCCCUCCAGCUCUCCCUGGCGGCCCUGCUGCCCCUGGUCGCCACGGGCCGCCGCAUCAAGGCCCGGCGCGACCGGCGCGCGGCGUAACGCCCUACGAGGGCAGGAACGCGCCGGAGCCCGGCCACCGGAGGGUGACCGGGCUCCGAGUGCGGAACGGGGGGGCGUCUGUCAGGACUUGCCGGGGUCGGCGCCCUGGCCGGCGUUCUCUUCGUCGUCCUUCUCGGACUUCUUGCCGGUGUCCUUCUCCGACUCCUUGCCCGAGUCGCCGUCCGAGGAGCCCUUGGCGUCGGCGCUGUUGGCCUUGGUGACCGCUGCCACGGCCUCCUUGCCGGCCUUGGUGGCGUCCUCGAUCAGGCCUGCGGUCUUCGGGGAGCUCUGGCCGGCGAGGCCGGCGCCGUUGUAGUCGACGGUCACCACGACGUUCUCGACGCGGGUCACCAGCGACUGCUGCUUGAAGGUGCCUUCCUUCUUCUUCAGCUCGUACGAGACCACCGUCGCGGCGUCGCCCGUGCCGGAGACCG